AACGCACAUUGCGCUUCCUGGUAUUCUGGGGAGCAUGCCCGUUUCAGAAUCAUUUAAAACAUCGUUAAGCUUUCUUGUGAAGCUUAAUGGAUGCUGGGCUCUUGUUUGCGCUUGUAUGAGUGCAAUUGCCCUAAAAUGAUGUUGUGUGCUCCAACAGUUGUUGGUUGGCUCUCAAAGUGCAACAGAUGAAUGUCUCUACCACGUUGAGGUUAUACUAGCAAAUGGAGGUGGCUUACACAAUCCAAACAUGAAACCAGAGGGGCCUUCAAAAAGUCCCUCUGUCAACCUUGGUCUGAAAUCGGGCAAGAAAACCCGCUGAACUUAA
rnacentral:misc_RNA from 1 species